AGAGUCGGAGGACCUGAAGCCAGUUGCCUGAGGAGGCGCUGUUUAGGGUUAAACCGAUGAUUAGGGCU
rnacentral:rRNA from 1 species